GUCAGAGCUCCUGGGAGUCAAGCUGCCCCUGGGACCCUGAGAUCCUGGUGUGACCAAGCUCCUGAGAUCCUGUGAUCCUAUGAUCCUGGGCAUGUUAAAGCACCUGAGUGACGAACUUCCUCUGGGUGUGUGGGACUAGCUCACACCGGAACAGAAUCAGGCCUUCCUGUACCAGCUGAUGCAGCAGCAGCACCGUCCACCCGAGCUCCAGCAGCUGCAGCUCCCGAGAUCCACGCAGAUUCCCAUCAACAAUCUCCUAGCAGACACUCAGGCGCCCCCACUCCACAACGGCUACCACCAACCCUUUCCUCACCAUCCAUGGGAACAGCACAAGCCAGAAGGUCACAAGACUUAGCGAUAAAACUGGGCCUGUAGCUCAAGAGAAAAGUUAACACUUGGAAAAGGCCAGAACUCGCCUCUCCUGCUGUUCUGUGCUUCACUGGCUGCUGCAGUGUCUGACACAGCUAUGAAGAAGGGCAGCGGGAACACACAGAGGAGGAUGCCACACACUCCCUUGUAAGGCUCUGAUUUUCUUGUUGCUUUCUUGCACUGAAAUGGAAUUCCUAUAUUCCCAUCCCCUACCAAAGUGUUUGAACUUUGGAAGAAAAAUUAAUAACUUUUUG
rnacentral:lncRNA from 1 species